UAUGAGAAACACAAGUCGGAGAAAGACCCAGAGAACGCUCACAGGCACAAGAUAGAAGAAGAAGUUGCAGCAGUAGCUGCAGUGGGAUCUGGCGGGUUCGCCUUCCAUGAGCAUCAUGAGAAAAAGGAAACAAAGGAGGAAGAAGAAGAAGCUCAUGGAAAGAAGAAACACCAUUUCUUUGGCUGAACAUAUGUGUAUAAUAUAAUUAUAUAAUAAGCACACAAGCAUAUUAUGGAGAUAUUCAUUCUGCUUAGCUUUGUCUUAUAAUUAAUUAUGCUUUUGGCUUAUUU
rnacentral:lncRNA from 1 species